AAUGAACGCUGGCGGCGUGCAUAACACAUGCAAGUCGAACGAGAAAUUUCCGCUUCGGCGGGAAGAGUAAAGUGGCGCACGGGUGAGUAACGCGUGGGUAACCUGCCCCCGAAUUCGGGAUAACUUCGCGAAAGCGGCGCUAAUACCGGAUAUCGUCCCAGGGGCUUUGGUCUCUGGGAUGAAAGAUGACCUCUCCAUGGAAGUUGUCGUUCGGGGAGGGGCUCGCGUACCAUUAGCUUGUUGGUGGGGUAAUGGCCUACCAAGGCGACGAUGGUUAGCUGGUCUGAGAGGAUGAUCAGCCACACUGGCACUGAAACACGGGCCAGACUCCUACGGGAGGCAGCAGUGAGGAAUUUUGCGCAAUGGGGGAAACCCUGACGCAGCAACGCCGCGUGAGUGAAGAAGGCCUUCGGGUCGUAAAGCUCUGUCAAGUGGGAAAAACGUCAGACGAUGAACAGUCGUCAGGCUUGAUGGUACCACUGGAGGAAGCACCGGCUAACUCCGUGCCAGCAGCCGCGGUAAUACGGAGGGUGCAAGCGUUGUUCGGAAUUACUGGGCGUAAAGAGCGUGUAGGCGGCAAGGUAAGUCAGGCGUGAAAGCCCUGGGCUUAACCCAGGAAGUGCGUUUGAAACUGCCUCGCUAGAGUAUGGGAGAGGAGAGUGGAAUUCCCGGUGUAGAGGUGAAAUUCGUAGAUAUCGGGAGGAACACCCGUGGCGAAGCGACUCUCUGGACCAAUACUGACGCUGAGACGCGAAAGCGUGGGGAGCAAACAGGAUUAGAU
rnacentral:rRNA from 1 species